GUUAUGAGAGUCUUAACCUAAUCAGUGCAUCAAUCCUCUGAUAGGUAUGGUAACUGUAGGCAAAUUGUGUGUGGCUGGAAGAGAUGGGUCAUUGGAGCAUGGCUUUGUGGUUUUUAUUUUGUCCUUGGUGAGGGGGCUCUUUCCCUUUUCUUCCCCUCCCUCUCCCUUCUCCUGUAAUGUCCCACUCUUCCACCAUAAUGCCCUGCCUCACCUUGGGUCCUCAAGAUCAGAGUGAGAAUUCUGAAACUGUGAGCCCACAAAUAAACAUUUCCUCCUAACAUUGUUCUUGCCAGGUCUUUUGUUCAUAGCAGCAAAAAAGGUGACUAAGAUAGUAAGGUAUAUUUUAUGAAAAUAUUUAUUGACUUGGCACUGAUUGGGCUACGUCAUGUUAUAUGUUAUAUCUCAAGCUUCAUAUCAAAUCUGUAAGUGUUGUUAUUUUUAUUUACAGGUGAGAAAAUUGAAAAUCAGAAAAGGUAUCUGUCCCAAGGUUACACAGCUCAUGAAUGGUGGACUACACUGAAAUUUGGACCCAUGGAAAGCUGACCUCAGAGUCCCUCUCCUUGGACAGUGGAGGUUGCUAUAGAAGCUGACAAUGAGAAUUUAGUCCCUUAAAAAGUCACAGUUCCCCCCAUAAGAUGGUACCAGGAAGAUUUCUAAAUGUGGGGCUUAAGCAUAGGCUUUAUAGAAUCCAAUAUCAUUCCUAUAUUAUUUAUUUUUUUAGGUGUUCAAUAAAUAUCUGUGAAACAAGUGGUUGCAAUAGGAACUUAUCAUUUUUUUUUUGCAAAAAUUCAGGCUGAUGGGCUUUUCUGUUGUUGUUCUUUUUAGUUUUUCAUGACAGUAGAGUGUGUGUGUGUAUAUAUAUAUAUAUAUAUAUGUAUAUUCUAUGUAUGUAUGAAUAUGAAUGCAUAGAAUAUAUAUCAGUAUGCAUGUAUGCAUAUUAAUACACAUACAGAGAGUAUAACUUCUUAUUUUAGUAUAACUUAUUCUCUUUAGGAUCCCACUCUUUUGGUUGUGCAUGAUGUGGACUUACCCUGGCCAUGUAUAAAAAUACAAAGUUAGGAAAGUUAUGACUGAUUAAUUCUAUAGUCUUUCCUAUUCCCCUCCCCUCGUUUCCCUUUGUCUAAGCCAAUGGAUUUCUAUUAUUCCCCUUCGAUGGGCUAACUCUUGUUGGAAAUGUGAUACGGCCUCAGAGAAAGCUCUCCUGGAUGUUGAGGUAGAGGAAGAUCUGAAAUAAUCACAUUCCUCUCUGCUUUCAACUCUAUUUUAGAACACUAUCA
rnacentral:lncRNA from 1 species